GUACCUACAGGCUUGAUUGACACAUUUUGGAAUGAUACUAGGAGUCUAUUUAACAUUCCAAGUGAGUACGCCAAGCGAAGGGUGUUUGAAUCCUUACUUGCGGCAAGAUUCAGAGGCUUCAAGACCACCUUAGUUCGUCGGUUUAUCACAAAGAAGCUUGUGAGAAAACCAAAGAACAAGAAAGAAGGUGGCAUGGAUGAAGAAGUCAUCGAUGAAGAGAAACUCCCAUGGCAAAUAUGGCCUAGUGUAUCAAAGGAAGAUUGGGAUGCUUUCGUUCUUCAAAAAAGCAAAAAAAGAAGCAAUUGAAAUAAGAGAGCAGAAUUCCAAGAAUGCAUUGCAGAAGCAAUACUACCAUCGAAUGGGGUGUAUGACGUAUGA